AGUCACAAAGACAAAGAUGUAGAAGGGAGGAAACAACCUCCCCCUAGAUUGUGGAAGGCUGCAGAAGGAGAAGCCCAACUGGGUGAUGGAGAGUAUGGCAAAGCAGCAAGCAGCUUGCAACUGGGAACCAGUAAGCAGAAGCCCAGUGGCAAGAGGCCGUUCCUCCCACUGUCCCCGCCAAAGGGCAAGAGUCAAGGCUUUGAGGCCCACUUGGAUGGCCAUGGGAACUUUAAUACAGAUACGUAUUCCUGCCCUGGGAUCCUGCUGAAAGCUUGCCGGAAACCGUCUGAUUGCGAUGGCUGCUUGGGCCUCUAUACUUGCAAACUUCCAAAAGGAAGGUGUGACUUCAAAGCAGUUUCCCGACAAACAGGUGGCUUUCUCCAGAGUAUCCAGGAAAGAUAAAAUAUACCGUCUCGGUGAAAAGCUGACCCAAAACAGUGUAUUUGGGGAUGGAGAUGAAUUAAACAAACAAUCUUGGCCAUGAA